GACAGAGGCCUCAAGCGUUAGGCGGAAUCACUGGGCUUAAAGCGCGUGUAGGCGGCCAUCUAAGUCGGGCGUGAAAUCCCACGGCUCAACCGUGGAAGUGCACUCGAAACUGGAUGGCUAGAGUCCUGGAGAGGAAGGUGGAAUGCUUGGUGUAGAGGUGAAAUUCGUAGAUAUCAAGCGGAACACCGGUGGCGAAGGCGGCCUUCUGGACAGUGACUGACGCUGAGACGCGAAAGCGUGGGGAGCAAACAGG
rnacentral:rRNA from 1 species